rnacentral:sRNA from 1 species
AACAAGGGAACGCCAACUAAAUCCGGCCCGUCCUGGGCCACCGUUGGCAUAACCCGGUUCCUCCGGG